UUUACUAUCAAAUCCACCUUCAAUAAACAUUUCAAAUUUAUAUUCAUUUAAAUAUUUUUAUUGUAACCCAUUUCUACUUAAAUAUUAGCUACACCUUGAUCUGAUAUAUUUUCUUUUUAAAAAUUAUGAAAAUUAACAUUCUUAUAAAAUAUUCUAAUAACGACGGUAUAUAAACUGAUUACAAACUUAAGUAAGGUCCAUCGUGGAUUAUCGAUUACAGAACAGGUUCCUCUGAAUAGACUAAAAUACCGCCAAAUUUUUUAAGUUUCAAGAACAUAACUACUACUACCUUAGUUUUUAAAUUUACAUUUUAAAUAAUAGGGUAUCUAAUCCUAGUUUAUUAUUAAAAUUUUCAAGCUUCAAUUAUUUUAUAUAAAAAAUUUAUAAAUUUAAAAUUUCACCUAAUAAAUUUAUUUUUAUUUUAUAAAUAAACAACUUAACUUUAACCAAAGAAAAUUUAUUUGCAUUAUUCGUAUAACCGCGGCUGCUGGCACAAAUUUAGCCAAUACUCUUUAAUAUUACUAUUUCUAAGUUUCCUUAAUUAAUAAUACUAAUUACUGCGAAUACNAUUAACUUAUUUAUUAUUUAA
rnacentral:rRNA from 1 species